UAGAAAUAAUUGUUUAUUUGGUAUUAAUCUAGAAGAAAUAUAGUGGGGAUAAGACAAAAACGUGAACGUAGCACAUGGCAAUGGUAGUAUAAACAAAAAGAAUAUAUAUAAACAAAUAUGAGUCAGAGAUAUGUUCUGCUUUUGAUUAAUUAUGUCUUUUUGAAAAUCUUAAUAUGCUUGUACUAUAGGGCUAGCAAAAGACUUUCCAAAGGUUUGUGAAAAACAACCAUCUUUGAUCUAUGAUUAUGUUUUACGUGAAUUUUUCAGAUAGCUAUGAGGACAUGAGAACCGAUUCCGUAAUUACCGUGGUCAAUACAACCUUUCAAUUUAUGAAGAACAAAAAUGAUAACAGAGUUUUUUCACGUAAAUCAUGCAAUAAUCUACCUCAAAAUAUAUUUUCAAUGUAAAUUGCCAGGAAAUCAGAAUUGGAAUAAUUUAUAAUUCCAUAAAAAAACAAGACAGAGACAA
rnacentral:lncRNA from 1 species